CGCACACACUGUCGCACACACAGCGGAAGCAAUGCCCUCCCUGCCUAACGAACCAUUUCCUGUCGUGCCACGGUGAUAAACUUCUUCCCCAGACCGAGGCUAGCGCAAGCCAAAAAAAAUAAUCCUGCUUUCUCAGUGCCGGGCGUGUCUCCCUCUGAUCGAGCUGAGAGUGCGUUUCAUUCUGUUGCAGUCUUUGAAGGACAGACCCUGCCUCUCUCCUCUCUUUACUCUCUCUCCUCUCCCCUGUCUCUUCACUCUCCUCUCUCUCUCCCUAUACCUCAGUUUUAUCUGUUAAUCUGUGGCGUGUCUCUUUCUCUAAUCAUGCUGAGAGUGUGUUUGUUUGCAGGACUAGCUUCUGUUAAGGGGUGUCUCAUCUGAGAGACUCUUGGUGAGGAAGAUUCCCUUUUAAGGAAGCCGUUUUGCUUGUCUCUGUCUCUCUCUCUCUGUUUCUACCUGUCUCUGCCUCCCAGGUGAAUUCCUCUCCUCUCGGCUCCUGCAGGAGAUUAUACCUCCUGAUUGUGUUUUUCUUGGCACGCUUCCAGCAGGCAGUGUGAGUGGAGGUGAAUGAUUUUGGCGCAGGGAUGGCGUGAAGGCGUCCUGCGCCGAUCGUGAAGAUCAAUCCAUUCUGUGCACGGGCGAGUCUGGCGCUGGCAAGACUGAAAACACCAAGAAAGUGAUUCAGUAUCUCGCUC